rnacentral:rRNA from 1 species
GCAAGUCGAACGGACAUAUUGGUUGGGUAACCGAGAUAUAUGUUAGUGGCGAAAGGGUGAGGAAUAAAUAGGUAACGUAUCUUUGGCUUCAGGAUAGCGUCUAGGUGCUUGCACCUUUCCGAAAGGGGCAUUAAUACUGAAUAAUAUCACUUGUUUAACUGCUUGUGAUCAAAGAUUUAUCGGCUUUUGAGCGGCCUAUUUCCUAUCAGCUUGUUGGUGAGGUAACGGCUCACCAAGGCUACGACGGGUAGCGGGACUGAGAGGUUGGCCCGCCACAUCGGGACUGAGACACUGCCCGGACCUCCACGGAGGGCUGCAGUAACGAAUAUUGGGCAAUGGGCGAAAGCCUGACCCAGCAAUGCCGCGUGCAGGAUGAAGCCCCUCGGGGUGUAAACUGCUUUCAGGGAUUAGAAAGCUACGGUUGAUCAAUCCCAGAAGAAGUCACGGCUAACUUCGUGCCAGCAGCCGCGGUAAUACGAAGGUGGCAAGCGUUAUUCGAAAUCACUGGGCUUAAAGGGCGCGUAGGCGGACAUGACAGUACUUUGUGGAAUCCCUCGGCUUAACCGAGGAAUUGCGAAGUAUACUACAUGUCUUGAGGCAAGUAGGGGUGUGUGGAACUCUUGGUGGAGCGGUGGAAUGCGUAGAUAUCAAGAGGAACGCCGAAGGUGAAGACAGCACACUGGGCUUGUACUGACGCUGAGGCGCGAAAGCGUGGGGAGCAAACAGGAUUAGAUACCCUGGUAGUCCACGCCGUAAACGAUGUCUACUAGGUUGCGGGGGUUCUGACACCGUCGCAGUCGUAGCAAAAGUAUUAAGUAGACCGCCUGGGGAGUACGGUCGCAAGGCUAAAACUCAAAGGAAUUGACGGGGGCUCACACAAGCGGUGGAGCAUGUAGAUUAAUUCGAAACAACGCGCAGAACCUUACCUGGGUUUGACAUGCCUGGAUGCCGUCCUGGAAACAGGAUUGGCUGCCCUCGGGUGAAACUUGCACAGGUGCUGCAUGGCUGUCGUCAGCUCGUGUCGUGAGAUGUCGGGUUAAGUCCUUUAACGAGCGAAACCCUUACCGUUAGUUGCCAGCGCGUCAUGGCGGGGACUCUAGCGGGACUGCCGGUGUCAAACCGGAGGAGGGCGGGGAUGACGUCAAGUCCUCAUGGCCUUUAUGCCCAGGGCUUCACACGUGCUACAAUGGCAGGUACAGAGCGACGCGAUACCGCGAGGUGGAGCAAAUCGCAAAAAAACCUGCCCCAGUUCAGAUUGCAGGCUGUCAACUCGCCUGCAUGAAGGUGGAAUCGCUAGUAAUCGCGUAUCAGCGAUGACGCGGUGAAUGUGUUCCUGAGCCUUGUAC